AUCCAACUGACGAGUCCCAAAUAGAACGAAACAGCGUGCAUCCUAGAU
rnacentral:hammerhead_ribozyme from 1 species